rnacentral:rRNA from 1 species
AUUGAACGCUGGCGGCAGGCCUAACACAUGCAAGUCGAGCGGAUGAAGGGAGCUUGCUCCUGGAUUCAGCGGCGGACGGGUGAGUAAUGCCUAGGAAUCUGCCUGGUAGUGGGGGAUAACGUCCGGAAACGGGCGCUAAUACCGCAUACGUCCUGAGGGAGAAAGUGGGGGAUCUUCGGACCUCACGCUAUCAGAUGAGCCUAGGUCGGAUUAGCUGGUUGGUGGGGUAAAGGCCUACCAAGGCGACGAUCCGUAACUGGUCUGAGAGGAUGAUCAGUCACACUGGAACUGAGACACGGUCCAGACUCCUACGGGAGGCAGCAGUGGGGAAUAUUGGACAAUGGGCGAAAGCCUGAUCCAGCCAUGCCGCGUGUGUGAAGAAGGUCUUCGGAUUGUAAAGCACUUUAAGUUGGGAGGAAGGGCAGUAGUUAAUACCUUGCUGUUUUGACGUUACCAACAGAAUAAGCACCGGCUAACUUCGUG